AGUGAACGCUGGCGGUAGGCCUAACACAUGCAAGUCGAACGGCAGCACAGUAAGAGCUUGCUCUUACGGGUGGCGAGUGGCGGACGGGUGAGGAAUACAUCGGAAUCUACUUUUUCGUGGGGGAUAACGUAGGGAAACUUACGCUAAUACCGCAUACGACCUACGGGUGAAAGCAGGGGAUCUUCGGACCUUGCGCGAUUGAAUGAGCCGAUGUCGGAUUAGCUAGUUGGCGGGGUAAAGGCCCACCAAGGCGACGAUCCGUAGCUGGUCUGAGAGGAUGAUCAGCCACACUGGAACUGAGACACGGUCCAGACUCCUACGGGAGGCAGCAGUGGGGAAUAUUGGACAAUGGGCGCAAGCCUGAUCCAGCCAUACCGCGUGAGUGAAGAAGGCCUUCGGGUUGUAAAACCCUUUUGUUGGGAAAGAAAAGCAGCAGGUGAAUACCCCGCUGUUCUGACGGUACCCAAAGAAUAAGCACCGGCUAACUUCGUG
rnacentral:rRNA from 1 species